UACGUAGGGCGCAAGCGUUGUCCGGAAUUAUUGGGCGUAAAGAGCUCGUAGGCGGUUUGUCGCGUCUGCUGUGAAAACCUAAGGCUCAACCUUGGGCUUGCAGUGGGUACGGGCAGACUAGAGUGCGGUAGGGGUGACUGGAAUUCCUGGUGUAGCGGUGAAAUGCGCAGAUAUCAGGAGGAACACCGGUGGCGAAGGCGGCUCACUGGACUGGUACUGACGCUGGAGACGCGAAAGCGUGGGGAGCGAACAGG
rnacentral:rRNA from 1 species